CCCCAAGAGGCAGGACCACCUGCCCAUCACUGCAAAAGACUGGCCUCAGCUUUAAAAAGGAGAAUCCGCCAAGAUCCCAUGAGUCUUCUGAUUCCUUACAAACCAAAACUACAGAAUGUCCUCCGCCUGAUGAGUCCUUGUCUGAUGUCAGGCUGCUCCAGAAAGGACUUUUGAUACUCCUCCAGAUGGUGGCGUUAUACUGACUUAAAAUGUAGUUACGGACAUCCGACCUAAGACUUACAAACGGGCCGCAGCUGCAACGCAUGUGCCUCAGUAACUGCCGCUCCGCCAUCUUCG